AGAGAGAGACAUGCGCGCAUAUCAAUAAGCGGAGGAAAAGAAACUAACAAGGAUUCCCCUAGUAACGGCGAGUGAAGCGGGAAGAGCUCAAAUUUGAAAUCUUAAAGGGUUUCCCUUUACGAAUUGUAGUUUAAAGAAGUGUUUUCUGUUGAGGUUUUGGUAAAAGUUCUUUGGAAUAGGACAUCAUAGAGGGUGAGAAUCCCGUAUUUGACCUUUACUUUCAACUUUGUGAUACACUUUCAAAGAGUCGGAUUGUUUGGGAAUGCAGUCCAAAAUGGGUGGUAAAUUUCAUCUAAAGCUAAAUAUUGGCGAGAGACCGAUAGCGAACAAGUACCGUGAGGGAAAGAUGAAAAGAACUUUGAAAAGAGAGUUAAACAGUACGUGAAAUUGUCAAAAGGGAAGCGUUUGACACCAGUGUUGUUUUUCUGAAAAUCAAUUAAAGAACUGUUUAUGCUAAGCUGUUUAGACUUUAUCAGCUAAUCUGUUUAGUUUUGAGCUUUUCUUUAAUGCACUUUUCAGUUAACAAGUCAACAUCAAUUUCUUUUGCUGUAAAAAAGCUUGAGGAAGGUGGCUUGAGAUUCGUCUUAAGUGUUUAUAGCCUCUUGCCUAUGCAGUCGGAGAGAUUGAGGUCUGCAGCGUAGAUCCUUCGGGGCUAAAUGCAUUUGUGCUAAGUUAUAGCAUUUUAUAGACAACUUGUUGACUAUGAUCUAGUCAUGUAGCUUACUCGCUUAUGCUAUUUUACCUACGCUUAGGAUGUUGAGCGCAUGUCUCUCUCU
rnacentral:rRNA from 1 species